GAUGAACGCUGGCGGCGUGCCUAAUACCUGCAAGUCGAGCGAAGCGGGGACGGGUGAGUAACACGUGGAUAACCUCCUAUAAGACUGGGAUAACUUCGGGAAACCGGAGCUAAACCGGAUCCUUAUAGAUGGUUCCCAUCUGCAUUAGCAAGUUGGUAAGGUAACGGCUUACCAAGGCAACGAUGCAUAGCCGACCUGCGAGGGUGAUCGGCCACACUGGAAGUGAGACACGGUCCAGACGCCUACGGGAGGCAGCAGUGGGGAAUCUUCCGCAAUGGGCGAAAGCCGGACGGAGCAACGCCGCGUGAGUGAUGAAGGUCUUCGGAUCGUAAAACUCUGUUAUUAGGGAAGCGGUACCUAAUCAGAAAGCCACGGCUAACUACGUGCCAGCAGCCGCGGUAAUAC
rnacentral:rRNA from 1 species